rnacentral:rRNA from 1 species
AUUGAACGCUGGCGGCAUGCUUUACACAUGCAAGUCGAACGGCAGCGCGGGCUUCGGCCUGGCGGCGAGUGGCGAACGGGUGAGUAAUGCAUCGGAACGUGCCCAGUAGUGGGGGAUAGCCCGGCGAAAGCCGGAUUAAUACCGCAUACGACCUGAGGGUGAAAGCGGGGGACCGAAAGGCCUCGCGCUAUUGGAGCGGCCGAUGUCGGAUUAGCUAGUUGGUGGGGUAAAGGCUUACCAAGGCGACGAUCCGUAGCUGGUCUGAGAGGACGACCAGCCACACUGGGACUGAGACACGGCCCAGACUCCUACGGGAGGCAGCAGUGGGGAAUUUUGGACAAUGGGGGCAACCCUGAUCCAGCCAUGCCGCGUGCGGGAAGAAGGCCUUCGGGUUGUAAACCGCUUUUGUUCGGGAAGAAAUCCUCUGGUCUAAUACCCCGGGGGGAUGACGGUACCGGAAGAAUAAGCACCGGCUAACUACGUG